UUCCGGUUGAUCCUGCCGGACCUGACUGCUAUCGGAUUGAUACUAAGCCAUGCGAGUCAUUGUAGCAAUACAAGGCAGACGGCUCAGUAACGCGUAGUCAACCUAACCUAUGGACGGGAAUAACCUCGGGAAACUGAGAAUAAUGCCCGAUAGAACACUAUGCCUGGAAUGGUUUGUGUUCCAAAUGAUUUAUCGCCGUAGGAUGGGACUGCGGCCUAUCAGUUUGUUGGUGAGGUAAUGGCCCACCAAGACUAUUACAGGUACGGGCUCUGAGAGGAGUAGCCCGGAGAUGGGUACUGAGACACGGACCCAGGCCCUAUGGGGCGCAGCAGGCGAGAAAACUUUGCAAUGUGCGAAAGCACGACAAGGUUAAUCCGAGUGGUUUGUGCUAAACAGACCUUUUGUUAGUCCUAGAAACACUAACGAAUAAGGGGUGGGCAAGUUCUGGUGUCAGCCGCCGCGGUAAAACCAGCACCUCAAGUGGUCAGGAUGAUUAUUGGGCCUAAAGCAUCCGUAGCCGGCUCUGUAAGUUUUCGGUUAAAUCUGUAUGCUCAACAUACAGGCUGCCGGGAAUACUGCAGAGCUAGGGAGUGGGAGAAGUAGACGGUACUCGGUAGGAAGGGGUAAAAUCCUUUGAUCUAUUGAUGACCACCUGUGGCGAAGGCGGUCUACCAGAACACGUCCGACGGUGAGGGAUGAAAGCUGGGGGAGCAAACCGGAUUAGAUACCCGGGUAGUCCCAGCUGUAAACUAUGCAAACUCGGUGAUGCAUUGGCUUGAUGCCAAUGCAGUGCCGCAGGGAAGCCGUUAAGUUUGCCGCCUGGGAAGUACGUACGCAAGUAUGAAACUUAAAGGAAUUGGCGGGGGAGCGCCACAAGGGGUGAAGCCUGCGGUUCAAUUGGAGUCAACGCCGGAA
rnacentral:rRNA from 1 species